rnacentral:rRNA from 1 species
GGUAUGCUAGUCGAACGACCAGAACUAUGUCUGGAAGUGGCACACUGCUCAGUAACACGUAGCUAACCUACCCUUAGGACGUGGAUACCCCCGAGAAAUUGGGGUUAAUCCGCGAUAGAUGUAAUGUCCUGGAAUGGUAUUACGUCUAAAGGUAUUUCAUACAUGUUUGAAAUAUGCCUAAGGAUGGGGCUGCGGCCGAUCAGGCUGUUGGUGAGGUAAUGGCUCACCAAACCUUUGACCGGUACGGGCCAUGAGAGUGGUAGCCCGGAGAUGGACACUGAGACAAGGGUCCAGGCCCUAAGGGGCGCAGCAACCGCGAAACCUCCACAAUGCACUCACGUGCGAUGGGGCUAUCUCGAGUGCCACCUGAUGAAGGUGGCUUUUCCUUGGUCUUCAAAGCCUUGGGAAUAAGAGGGGGGCAAGACUGGUGUCAGCCGCCGCGGUAACACCAGCCCCUCGAGUGGUGGGGAUGAUUAUUCGGCCUAAAGCGUCCGUAGCCUGCCGAGCAAGUCUUCCGUUAAAUCCAGCGUCUCAAGCGUUGGACCGCGGGAGAUACUACACGGCUAGAGAGUGGGAGAGGUCAGCGGUAUUCUGGGGGUAGGGGCGAAAUCCUUUGAUCCCCGGAGGACCACCAGUGGCGAAGGCUGCUGACUAGAACACGUCUGACGGUCAGGGACGAAAGCUGGGGUAGCGAACCGGAUUAGAUACCCGGGUAGUCCCAGCCGUAAACGAUGCAUGCUAGGUGUUGGGUUGGCCACGAGCCACCCCAGUGCCGCAGGGAAGCCGUUAAGCAUGCCGCCUGGGAAGUACGAUCGCAAGAUUGAAACUUAAAGGAAUUGGCGGGGGAGCACCACCAGGCGUGAAGCCUGCGGUUUAAUUGGA